rnacentral:tRNA from 1 species
GCUGCGGUGGCCUAGCUGGUCAGGGCGCCAGACUCAUAUGUUUUGAAACGGGAUAUCUGUCCUCGUUUAAGCCUGGGAGAUCUGGAGAUCGUGGGAUCGUAACCCACCCGCAGCA